CACCAGACCCCCUCUGAGAGGACAUCACCCUUUAAUAAGUUGAGUUUAAUUUCUUAGGAAGUCAAAGUUCAAAAAAGGACCUAGGGAUCCCCAGGGACUUGUAAAUAUCCACUCCAGAAACUAAAUUUCUGCCAAGGGAAGAAAGAAACUCCAUAAUUUUUAUUUAUCCUAAUGGAGAUAUUGACUGGCUAAUUCCUCUAUUUUUUUAAAAAGACAAACAAGCUUAAUUCAUUCCCUUUCUUCACCUGUUCUGAGUUGUCCCUUGCCUAAAAGCGAUCUGAGGGUCAGUACUCAUUUAGUGCAUGCUACCUGCAUGCAUCUAGGGUCUAGAGCUAGAAGAGAUCUACACUCUUCUUCAUUCAUUUGACUGAUGAGGAAACUGAGGCCCGGAAGGGUUCCCACAGUCCCCUGAGAUCUGUAGCUCGAGAGGGAGUGAGGACAGAGCCCAGGCUGCUGUGCCCGCCCCCCACUUCCAGCACUCUCUUUCCUCUGUACACCCCCCAAUCUGGGCUUGCCAUGGUAACUAAGCCUCCUCCAGUGUGGGAAGCAGUUACCUAGCAACUCCCCAUAACCAGGUCAUAGCCGGGGGAGCGAGACACCACGUGCUGCCUGCCCUGGGGAAUUCAGCUGUGUGCAAAUGGGACUGCCACAAACGACCCUGCAUAGAGCCUUCCUGGGAGUGCCUGGGUAGGUGUGUGGGUAGGGAGUCUCCUGCCAGGGUCAGCAAGUUGCUGGGAGUACGGCACAGCCCUGCUUGGCUGGGAACUCCAUCCCCACAGCAGCCUCAUGGCUUCCCUAUGUGCAGUGCUGCUGUCUUUGAACAGCAUGGGACCUGUCCCCUUUGCCCUCCUGGCCUAUCGGUUGUGGACUCUGUAGCAGAAGCCUGAUGGACUGGCAUGUGUGUGUGCGUUUGAGUAAAUGUCUGCACUAGCUGGGGUUGUGCUCCCUCACACCAAUUCCUUGUUCACCUUGAGAAAUGUUUGCGGAAUGACCUGGCCUUAAACAAAGUGGCUCUUCCUCUAAUAUUCUUGUACCUCGGGUCUUGACAGCCAUUCUCCACUGCACCCCACCGGCUGCUCCUGUGGGCGAGGCCCCACCUUGUUGCCUAGGUUUUGCCCCCUGCAGGAACCUGCCCAUGAGCCUAGGCCUGUUGAGCGGGCUCAUUCUCCGGAAGCUGGGUGGCUCACACAGGCUAUGAGAUCGUCUUGCCAUCGGGGCCUGUAGGAACCACUGCUGGGGAGUUCUAGGAAAUAUUCUCUCACUAGUGACAGUUGGGAGGGACUGUGCCUCUUCUUCUUUAGUAUGUCACAUCUGCCGGUGCUGUCUGGAGCUGCAGCAGCCACUGAGAAGAGACGUGCUGAUGCUUGGAGGAUAGCACUGCUGAGCCACUGCAGGAAGGGCUGGGAGAAGGAACAAAGGAUUAGGGCCCCCCAUGCAUCCUCACCGACACCACCCCAACCUUUUCUCUCCUGUCUGAGCACACACACGUGUGUGCACAGAAGCACAUGUGUGGACACGCGCAGGCAUGUGCACCCACACACUCCUUUGAAGAGUACUGCAUGAAGAUGUGUGUUCCCAGGCUCCACGAAGGCAAAGCACUUCCUGUCCUGGUCCCUGUUGCCCUCUACCCAGGCUGAGCUGUGCAUCACAUCCCCAAGAUGGGCACUAGGACACACAGUUGUGGUCCGAGGUGUCAAGGAGGGACAGUGGCAGCGUGGUCCCUCUCCUUAGGAGCCACUCUCGGAAAUGGGGAAUCCAGCAGUGGUUCAGCAGUCCGAUGGAUCAGGAAGCUCUUUUCAAGCCAGCUCUUGCCCUGGGCCAUACUCAGUCCAUCAAUCCAUCUAUCGAUCCAUAGUCAAGGCUCUUGGCUUCUCUCUGGGCCACUGGGCAAGGCAGCUUCAAGCAUAGGAAAUCAAGAGAGAAAACGAGCAGAGCCCUGCAGAGACACCCUCCAAGCUGUCAAACAGUGACUCUAACAUUCUGCAUUUUCAGCCAGUGCUUCUCCAAACACUUGACAGAAUCCAGGAUGCUACUUUCCUUGUAGCUGGGGAAACGGAGGUUAUAGCCAAGUAGGCCCCAGGGGAUCCGUAAAGAAACCACCCCCACUGCUGCUUCCCAGCCCUGGGCUCCUCUCUCUUCACGUUGGAGAUACUCUCCCGUCAGCCACAGGGAAGAAGAUUGCUACCCAAGGAGCGUUCACUGGUGGAGGAGAAACGUCUCAACUGGCAGCUGGGAGCCCAGCCUUGCUCUGGCAGCGCCUCUCUUAUGUUGCUGCUGCGGUUCUUGCCCCUGCCAGCUUCCUGCUCAGACUUGCUUGGUGCCUGCGGGCCCGGACGGGCUGCUCCUUAAUUCUCAAUGCAGCAGCGGGAGAACGGGCGGUGAGCUGCCCUGCGAGCCCUCCAGGUGCGUGGGGUGUGCAGGGGAGCCCCAGCGUGCCCCGCCGUGUUCAGCUCCACCCUACUGUUCUUUGGCUGAGGCAGGGGUGUGGACUCUGCUUAGCUGCUCUCUGGGAAAACUCGCAAGCCAGGGAGGAAGUGGGGGAGAGAUCAACGACAAAAAAAGUUCUGUAUCAUCCCGCUGCCUGUGCUUCCCACUUCCCCCACUGCCUUCUGCACACCCCAGAGGAGCAAUAAAGAAGCCUGAAUAUCA